AGCAGCUAUCAGUAAGGAAAGCAGCUAUUGGCUGUCCUAGAAGUCGCUAAAUUACGUCAUCACCUCAUUUGCAUAAAUGGCCUUGUGCAUGUAAUUGUGAUGGAAGCUGUAGGAGAGAGGAACAACGUCGUGGGGGAGACAAAAAGGCGGGAUCAGCUAGGGUCGGCUUCCUGCAUGCGCGAUUCAUUUGCAGUCUCGGCGGGGUGAACCUCUCCUGCUCUGACUGCAGCUGGGAGGUUCUGCUGUGUGAGGACUGGGCCGCCUGUGAGUGCUUUGAGACGGGGGUGGGGCCCACGGCAGCGCUCGUUGAGAAGACAGGUCAGCCACCAGAGGGAGACUCGUUGAGGCCUGGUGACAGACGGAUUACACAUCACGAGGCGAUGGCUUUAUCUGCUGGACGUGCCAGGUCUCGACAGGCUUUCCUGCCAGGACUAAUUGUGGCUGAUUGGUGAGUAAUCAAGGGCUGAUUGCUCACCAGCUGUACAAGUCCCAGAAAGCUGCCAGAAGGGCAGCACACAGGGGAGAGACUGGGGUGUGAAAGGACUCCAGUAUAGUUGGGGACGGUACCGGAGGAAGUUCAGUUUUUGAUUCCCACAGGAUACAGCAAGAUCCGGAGCCCAGAAGACGGUAUCCCGGAGAGGGUCUCUUGGGGGAGACCUUUUCUUUUGGACUUUUAUUUUAAUAACAACCUUUUGAAACUGAGCUAAUCCUACUCUGUCCGUGUCUGAUCUGUGUAAACGUUUUGACCCAACCCCUUGGUCUGCCACAAUAUGUGAUAUUGUUUACAUGUAAUGCUUGACAGGCUAAAUGUUCCAGAAAAUAACCAACAAGAUCAAAUCAAUUUUUAAUAUUAAAUCUUCAACUUCACAUGUUCAAAAGGCAUAUUUUUUUUUUGCGGAACUACCUAUCGAACACUUAACUCACUUCACUUCCCUCUGAAUUUGCCAUUCAGUUUCAGUAGGAGCAAAUUUUCUAACUUAAUUGAGUCUAUCCUGGCUCGCUUUGCAGUGAAGAGUAGUCCAGCACAGCUAAGAAGACGCUCGAAGGCAGGCCUGUGUUGAGUUUGAGGGACAACUUCUUUAUGUACGGAAAACCAUUUUGUCCGAUGGACUAGCAAGAUAUCCAUCCAGCUCCCCUGUAUCAUCUGACCCUUUGGUUGUCAGUGAUGAGAAGAAAUCCUCUUCAUCCGAUGAAUGCUGCCUUAGAUGCUCAGUCUCGUCCCGUGUAACUGUGUCAAAAGGAUUCUUCAGGUAAGCCAAACUUGUACCUUGGAAACAACACAACAUUCACAUGUCCAGUGCUUCAGAAAACUGUUGUGUGGCUGGC